UGGCUUGGGUGCUGGGUAUUGAACUCAGGUCCUCUGGGAGAGCAGUACUCAUUCCUAACUGGUGGCUGUCUCACUAGCCUCCAAGGGAUGGUUUUUUGUUUGUUUUUGUUUUUGUUUUGUUUGUUUGUUUUUUGAGAUUGAGGCCAGACCCAUAAGCACUGGAGAACUUGCAACAGGCCACUCACAAUCUUUGUCAGAGACGAGGUGGCCUGGAGGCUCUCCGGUCGCAGUCAGCCACACCUCUUGGGAAGGCUUUCCGGGGUCCAUGAAGUGCCCCCAUGCUUACCUUGGAAUUUCCUAUCCAGAUCGCUGAGAUGCUUAAGGACGCCUUUACCUGGCUCCUUCAUUCCUAGCCUCCUGUUCCUGGUGUUAUUUUUAAAGUUUCACAUUGUAAA